rnacentral:sRNA from 1 species
GCUAGCUCUUAUAAUUAGUCAAAUGAAUUGGAUUGUGACACAUUUUGACCAUAGAAACACUAACAAAUCUAUUGAGUUGUUCUAAGCAAGUUUUGUUGGUUUUAUCCUCUUUUGGGAGGAAAUGGGUAUAAGUGUUGUCUAAACACUUCUUAUCCAUCUCUAACUCUUAUAAUUAGUCAAAUGCAUUGGAUUGUGUCACAUUUUGACCAUAGAAACACUAACAAAUCUAUUGACUGCUUCUAAGCAAGUUUUGUUGGUUAAGACUCUUUUGGGAGAAAAUAGGUAUAAGUGUUGUCUAAACACUCCUAAUCCAUCUCUAACUAUUAUAAUUAGUCGAAUGCAUUGGAUUGUGAUACCUUUUGACCAUAAAAACACUAACAAAGUUAUUUACUACUUCUAAGCAAUAUUUUGUUGGUUAAAGCUUCUUUUGUGAGUAAAUGGGUAUAAGUGUUGUCUAAACACUCCUAAUCCAUCGCUAGCUCUUAUAAUUAGUCAAAUGCAUUGGAUUGUGACACAUUUUGACCAUAAAAACACUAACAAAGCUAUUUAGUUCUUCUAAGCAAGUUUUGUUGGUUUUAUCCUCUUUUGGGAGGAAAUGGGUAUAAGUGUUGUCUAAACACUUCUUAUCCAUCUCUAACUCUUAUAAUUAGUCAAAUGCAUUGGAUUGUGUCACAUUUUGACCAUAGAAACACUAACAAAUCUAUUGACUGCUUCUAAGCAAGUUUUGUUGGUUAAGACUCUUUUGGGAGAAAAUAGGUAUAAGUGUUGUCUAAACACUCCUAAUCCAUUUCUAACUCUUAUAAUUAGUCGAAUGCAUUGGAUUGUGAUACAUUUUGACCAUAGAAACGCUAACAAAUCUAUUGACUGCUUUUAAGCAAGUUUUGCUUGUUUUAGCCUCUUUUGGGAGAAAAUGGGUAUACGUCUUGGCUAAAGACUCCUAAUCUAUCUCUAACUCUAUCAUUAGUCAAAUGCAUUUG